GACGAAGGGGGCUAGCGUUGUUCGGAAUUACUGGGCGUAAAGCGCGUGUAGGCGGUUGCCCAAGUCGGGUGUGAAAGCCUGGAGCUCAACUCCAGAACUGCCUUUGAUACUGACGGUCUUGAGUUCGGGAGAGGUGAGUGGAACUGCGAGUGUAGAGGUGAAAUUCGUAGAUAUUCGCAAGAACACCAGUGGCGAAGGCGGCUCACUGGCCCGAUACUGACGCUGAGGUGCGAAAGCGUGGGGAGCAAACAGG
rnacentral:rRNA from 1 species